UCCUUCUGCAUCAACAGACGCCUGCUAUAAUUGUGUGACUCAGUUUUCUGUUUCUUGCAAUAAUGCUAGCAGACUAUUGCGUAGAAGGAAAUUAUUGCGCACUGUAUUGAAAAUGAGAUGUGGUUGAACCUCUUUCUUAAUGUUCGUUGGCCUUGGUCUCAAGGUGCAGUGCUACAGUU
rnacentral:snoRNA from 1 species